UACGUAGGGUGCGAGCGUUGUCCGGAAUUACUGGGCGUAAAGCGAGCGUAGUCGGUUAUUUAAGUCGGGUGUGAAAGCCCCGGGCUCAACCUGGGAAUUGCAUUCGAUACUGGAUAGCUAGAGUUCGGCAGAGGGAAGCGGAAUUUCCGGUGUAGCGGUGAAAUGCGCAGAUAUCAGGAGGAACACCGGUGGCGAAGGCGGGUCUCUGGGCCGUAACUGACGCUGAGGAACGAAAGCGUGGGGAGCGAACAGG
rnacentral:rRNA from 1 species